GCACCCGUAGCUCAACUGGAUAGAGUAGCUGGCUUCGAACCAGUUGGUUGGGGGUUCAAGUCCCUCCGGGUGUACCA
rnacentral:tRNA from 1 species